GCUGAGCCCUUGGGCCUCAGUGGUACAGCAUCUGCUUUGCACGCUGGAGGUCCUAGGUUCAAUCCCCAAUGGCAGCA